AACAUACAUGCUAACAGAAUAACAAGGUUCAGUGUCAAGUCCUAAUGUUAAUGGAGACUGAUUUAUGCCUUCUUGCAACAGAAGGCAAACUGAAUUUGUCUCCACCUAUAACACACUCUUCCCUUUUCAAAAACCAAACCCAACUGAACACACAUGCCCGCCAAGGACAAACGGCUGUGCUUUAAGCCCCAUCUAGUGACAAAUUGUGGAAUUGGUGCUAAACUAAAGCAACAUCCUACAUACAUCACCACACUUGGCAUAACUGAUUUUGCUAAUUAAAUUGAAAAACAAACAUUUUGAGAUUUAUUCCAACUACAAAAUGUUCUCUGCAAACUAUAUAGGGCAUUUCUCCCAUGAAACUGACGAGCCAGGAAGCAACAAAACCAUCCAGCCUAAAAAGUUACAUGCUUUACCAAAUCCGCCUUAUUCCGUUGACACUCCCAGCCAUAACAUUAGGAAAACACAAAGAAGAAUUCAUGGCACGCUGACCUCGAACCUGCUCUUGAACAUCUGCCGCUUUCCAGCCUGUGUCACGAAAAGGUCUGCACACGUUACUUCUGCUUAAGAAAACAUCCUGAAAGACACAGUUCUCAUUAUUUACUCACGACCCAAAAGAAAAUCCACUCAAAACCUUCCUGCCAGUUGCAGUGAGGGAAGAGACAUCAAUGCUCGAUAAAACAAAGGCAAUGUAUCACCUCUCAUCUGAGACCACUAAACUAGAACACUGCUAGAAAGCAGCAAACUGCCUUGACCUCCACCACAACAUACAUCCACACUUUCUUCUAGGGCCAUGAGCUUCACAGUCCAUACAUGUUCACUAACCCCUUAAGCACGUACCCCUCUGCUACCUAGUAUGCAGACAGGUAACGCAGAAGAAAAUUUGCAGGGUAACUUCCUGGCCCUUAACGCAAAUGAAAAGUAGUCUUGUUCUGACCUCCAUCUGGAAUCAAUGGGCUCAAAGACCACCACAUCCAUGCCCUGAAAGGAGGAAGAUAAGCUUAGGUGAAGAGCAGAGGAUCUUUGAUCUAAUGUACUGUUUUCCAAGUGGCAAAUUUCCAGACCUCUGCAGGCCUGAGGAGCUGAAAGACUUAAACUAAAAUGUUUUAGUGGUUGGGAUCCCCUCAAGCAGUGGAGACAGCCUGUGUGCCCAUCUGGUAGCUGGUAUGGCUCCAACACAGAAGAGACAGUAUUUGAGUCUUGCUGACCUUGAAAAGACCAACCCAACCCCAAAAUUUAGAAAAGCUGCCAACAUCAAAUUAUCAGCUGUAACUUAAUGUCCUUUUCUUAUUAUUAUUUCAACUUUUAAACUGCUUAUGAAAGUUGAGGCUGGUAAAAAAAGAAGAAAGAUCUUUCUGUUCAGUCUGAACUUUGGCAGCAAACAGUUCAUAUCAAGAUAGAGGAAGAACUAAACUGCAACAGGCAUGUUCCUCUUUCAUCUUCUCCGAGUUAAGCAUGACCUAGCCAUGAAUGCAAAUAUGACACAUAACUUCUACUAAGUAUUUUCACUGUUGGUCUAUAUAUACACACUACUCAUAGGAACAUACUUCUUGAAGGAGUAUGAUAAAAAAAAAAAACUCAAGAUCCCCAGUCUAAAAGGGAGUUUAGAUGCAUCAUAAUGCACAAAUGCAUCAUAAUCUUAGUGUCCAAGCUCUUCCACAGACACAGGAAGUUAGCUGGCAGCUGAAAGCUUAAGAGAAGCACUAAAGCCCAUUCAUCUUUUCUGCUUUAAUGUAUACUCUAGAUUUAGCAUAAAGAUCACGGCCAAGGCUGUUUGCAAGGUCUACACUCAAUCCCGAAGUCCUUAAAGUUUAAGAUUCCUUUUCAAUUUUCCUUAUCUCAUUCUCUUCUAGAAUACCAGCGACCACUGAGAGAAAGCACCCUACCAGAAUAGCUGUAGUUUAUCCUUAUCUUCAGCCAGAAGGAACCUUAAAGAGCUUGGGAGAUAAAUGCUGUAUAUACCAUCUGCUGUCUAGACUUGGCUUCUGGAGUAUACAGUAUAAUUACAGUUUUCCCAAAGGUCCUCAUUAUUAUCCAGGAACACAGCAAGCAAAACAAAAGGAGAUAUUAAAGUAAUACGUUUGGUAACGACUUAUCCCUGCUACACAAAAUAAAAGCUAUCCACAGUGUUCAGAGCUAAUCAAUCCAUAGCUUCCAUGGGAAAGAUACAACUGAUAAGCUCCUACUUAAGAGCUCCCAUUUUACAGUUUGCGGCACUAACCAUACAUCUGCUAGACAAGGAAGAAACACGUCGUUAACAUAGUGGAAGGUGGCUGGACCCCAGCACACAAGAUUCCAGCAGCCCACUUCCUAGACAAGAAUUACUGGAAUGUGAACAGCAUGGUCCUAUGUUUAAAUAGAGAUUAUUCUAAACAGUUUCUACCAGGCAGACAUUAAGACUAUCAGAUGUUAGAUGAAGAUGUCGAAAAUUUUUCUAGUGCUAAGAUUUGGCAUAUAAAUACAAUUUGGAACACCAAUGUGCUUUACCCACAGAUUUUAUAUGUAUAUCUUUCCGGUUUUGGAUGACACAAGAAC
ensembl:lncRNA